rnacentral:rRNA from 1 species
UACGUAGGGUGCAAGCGUUAAUCGGAAUUACUGGGCGUAAAGCGUGCGCAGGCGGUUUUGUAAGUCUGACGUGAAAUCCCCGGGCUCAACCUGGGAAUUGCGUUGGAGACUGCAAGGCUAGAAUCUGGCAGAGGGGGGUAGAAUUCCACGUGUAGCAGUGAAAUGCGUAGAGAAGUGGAGGAACACCGAUGGCGAAGGCAGCCCCCUGGGUCAAGAUUGACGCUCAUGCACGAAAGCGUGGGGAGCAAACAGG